rnacentral:rRNA from 1 species
AUGAUGUUUGAGAAUGUACCUUUUUUAGUGUAUUUUUUUAUUAGUAUCUAUGGAUUGAUCACAAGCUGAAACAUGGUUAGAACUCUAAUAUGUCUUGAACUUCUGAAUUCAAUUAAUGAAGAUCUCCUAACAUUUUCUGAUUUAUUUGACAGUUGACAAUUAAAAGGAGAUAUUUUUCGCAGACUUUAUUAUAGCCCUUGUGGCUGUUGA